rnacentral:rRNA from 1 species
AACGUAGGGGACGAGCGUUAUCCGGAUUUACUGGGCGUAAAGCGCAUGUAGGUGGCUUGAAAAGUUGGACGUGAAAGCUCCUGGCUUAACUGGGAGAGGUCGUACAAAACUAGCAAGCUUGAGGUUGGAAGAGGAGAGCAGAAUUCCCGGUGUAGUGGUGGAAUGCGUAGAUAUCGGGAGGAAAUACCAGUGGCGAAAGCGGCUCUCUGGUUCAAUACUGACACUGAGAUGGCGAAAAGCGUGGGGGAGCGAACGGG